UACGGGGGGGGCAAGCGUUGUUCGGAAUUACUGGGCGUAAAGGGCUCGUAGGCGGCCAACUAAGUCGGAUGUGAAAUCCCUCGGCUUAACCGGGGAACUGCGUCUGAUACUGGAUGGCUUGAAUCCGGGAGAGGGAUGCGGAAUUCCAGGUGUAGCGGUGAAAUGCGUAGAUAUCUGGAGGAACACCGGUGGCGAAGGCGGCAUCCUGGACCGGCAUUGACGCUGAGGAGCGAAAGCCAGGGGAGCAAACGGG
rnacentral:rRNA from 1 species